UUCGACACACUAUCAUUAACUGAAUCCAUAGGUUAAUGAGGCGAACCGGGGGAACUGAAACAUCUAAGUACCCCGAGGAAAAGAAAUCAACCGAGAUUCCCCCAGUAGCGGCGAGCGAACGGGGAGGAGCCCAGAGCCUGAAUCAGUGUGUGUGUUAGUGGAAGCGUCUGGAAAGGCGCGCGAUACAGGGUGACAGCCCCGUACACAAAAAUGCACAUGCUGUGAGCUCGAUGAGUAGGGCGGGACACGUGGUAUCCUGUCUGAAUAUGGGGGGACCAUCCUCCAAGGCUAAAUACUCCUGACUGACCGAUAGUGAACCAGUACCGUGAGGGAAAGGCGAAAAGAACCCCGGCGAGGGGAGUGAAAAAGAACCUGAAACCGUGUACGUACAAGCAGUGGGAGCCUCUUUUAUGGGGUGACUGCGUACCUUUUGUAUAAUGGGUCAGCGACUUAUAUUCUGUAGCAAGGUUAACCGAAUAGGGGAGCCGAAGGGAAACCGAGUCUUAACUGGGCGUUAAGUUGCAGGGUAUAGACCCGAAACCCGGUGAUCUAGCCAUGGGCAGGUUGAAGGUUGGGUAACACUAACUGGAGGACCGAACCGACUAAUGUUGAAAAAUUAGCGGAUGACUUGUGGCUGGGGGUGAAAGGCCAAUCAAACCGGGAGAUAGCUGGUUCUCCCCGAAAGCUAUUUAGGUAGCGCCUCGUGAAUUCAUCUCCGGGGGUAGAGCACUGUUUCGGCAAGGGGGUCAUCCCGACUUACCAACCCGAUGCAAACUGCGAAUACCGGAGAAUGUUAUCACGGGAGACACACGGCGGGUGCUAACGUCCGUCGUGAAGAGGGAAACAACCCAGACCGCCAGCUAAGGUCCCAAAGUCAUGGUUAAGUGGGAAACGAUGUGGGAAGGCCCAGACAGCCAGGAUGUUGGCUUAGAAGCAGCCAUCAUUUAAAGAAAGCGUAAUAGCUCACUGGUCGAGUCGGCCUGCGCGGAAGAUGUAACGGGGCUAAACCAUGCAC
rnacentral:rRNA from 1 species